rnacentral:misc_RNA from 1 species
AACCUUAUGGACCUGCGGGCGUAUACCUGCGGAAGGAUCAUUAACAUUUUUGGAGGUAGGCUGUAUAAGUCUGGUUGGUAACAACUAGCAUGGCCCCUCUGAUUUGUACCCUUGUCUAUUUGCGCACUUAUGUUUCCUCGGUGGGCUUGCCUGCCGAUUGGACAAACUUAUAACCUUUUUAAUUGUUAAAUCAGCGUCUGAAACAAACAUAAUAAUUACAACUUUCAACAACGGAUCUCA